AGGAACUCGGCAAAAUGACCCCGUAACUUCGGGAGAAGGGUUGCUCUAUUAGGGUGCAAGCCCGAGAGCGCCGCAGUGUAUAGGCCCAGGCGACUGUUUAGCAAAAACACAGGUCCCAGCAAAACCGGAAGGUGACGUAAAGGCGCUGAUGCCUGCCCGGUGCUCGAAGGUUAAGGGGAGUGCUUAGCUUCGGCGAAGGUACGAAUUGAAGCCCCAGUAAACGGCGGCCGUAACUAUAACGGUCCUAAGGUAGCG
rnacentral:rRNA from 1 species